rnacentral:lncRNA from 1 species
GGCACUAAGUGCCUAGGAAAAGUCGUGUGAAGGCGACAUCAGGAAGUAGAAGGGUGUGCUUACUGCGUGCAGCCAGCUAGCAUUUAAAGUCAGCUGAGGAGCUGGUAGGAACACAGUUCCAGUUGGUCCUCAGUUAUGUUUCCUAUCUGGUUUCUGCUCCUAGAGAUGUGGUGUUUGGAACUGGGAAAAAUAUGAAGAAAGACUGUUUUUAGGCGGGGAUCAGAUAUAUGCAGGCUUGUUUCACUCUAUAAAUGGCUCUGACAUCUAGCUCUGAGACCUGGGCGACUUAGUUCGGGAAAUUCGUGGGCCCUGGCUGUUCCACUCCGGCUUCCCAGGACCAGGCUCCGCCUGCAGAGAGAGAGCAGGAGGCGUGGACCUGGCCAGUGUGCAACUACAAGUGGAUGGUCUGAGAAUGCGGUGAGCAGCCGUGACGGAAGUGUAGGGAAAUGCGCACGCGCGGAGUGAGGGUGCCCAACAAGGAUCUCAAGAUCUUAAGGUGGGGUGUGCGCUGAGCGAUGGGAUUGGCCAAGACAAAGGAGAGAACUUAGAAGAGAAAAAAUGGGGCCCAGGACUGAGGGGCGGGGCCUGGACACCGUGGGAAGGAGCGUCAGCGACGGCAAACGCCGAGAGGGGCGUGGCCUAGGCCGAGCCAAGCGUGUGGCCAUCACUCUGCUGUUUGAAGGUCUUGCUGGAAUAGGAGAGAAGUCAGAAAUUUCUGGUGAAAGAAGCUGCUCCACACACUACCAUAAGCUAACCCUGCACAUCCGUCAGAGGGGUCUGUGUUCUCAGCCUGCACUGAAGACCUCAGUGCACCAUAAUUCACCCUGAUAAGGAACUACACUGUUCUUGAAUAUUUUGGAAAUGAAAACUUUUCAACUUUAUAAGGCUUUCCUACUUAGCUUAGAAAUUGUAAAUGCAAUACCAGGUCUGAAAUUCACAUAAAGACCAAAUGCAGCAAGGGCAUCAUUUCUGGGCCUGUACACACCUGCUCUGUUAGCCCUGGAGCAAGGUAAAACCCUCCACUCAGGGUUGAAACACAAUAAAUCUUGAGCAAAUUUUGACUGAAUAUGAAUA